UGUAUUCGUGAUUAGAUUGAGGUUAUGAAUUAAAGAGGGAUAUCACAGACGUGUCCUUCUCAGUACACCAUUCAGAGAUGGUGGGGAGAUAUGAUGCUGAUAUGGACUACUGGGGAUGUUAACCUUGAUCACUUGGUUAAUUAAGGUAGUGUCUGCUAGAUUUCUCCAUUGUAAAGUUACUAUUUUCCUCUUUACUAAAUACUUUGAGACCAUGCAGAUAUCCUGUUUCUGCUUAAAUUUAUGCCCAUUAAUUUUAGCAUCCUUAUUACUCUUGUAUUCUAGUAGCGAUUUUUAUUUCCCUCAUUAUUUCUACAAUAAUUAAUUGGAAUUCUGUGAGGAAGAGUUGUCCUUUCUCCCCCGUUGAUUAUUUAUAUCAGUAUAGACUUAACAGGUAUUUAUUUUAUUCUUUGGAUUGUAACACAAUACUGUUGUUAUUAUUAUUAUUAUUUUCUCAAACUGUUUCAAUCUUGACCAAGGGGAGCUCUUUCUGAUUGGCAUCUGUGGUCAUUCUUUCUUUUUGAGCACUCCUUACAAGUGUUACCAAAUAAUGCUUCAGCCCAUCUUUUAUUUUCCCUGCCUCAACCCUGGAACCUACCACAUUUCCAAGGAUUUUAGUGGUAUUUUGGUAUAAAUGUAAAGUGAUAAAACCAGGUGUCUUUGGUUUUCCUCUAGGCUAGUAAUGUAGGAUUCAGCUUUCUCAGGUAUAACAGUCAUUAUCACCUGUUCUGCUUUCCAGCUUCUAAAAUUGUUUCUGGUUUAUGAUAUUUUAAAGAGUUUCUUUACUCUUGUUUCAGAGAUAUUUGGAGAAGUUUCAGAGCUAAAUGCUUAUAUUCAAUCUAUCCUCUUUAACCAGAAAUUCCUAACUUAAUGUUUUGAUGUCCUGCCCCAAGCUAAUUUUGUUUUAGACACAUUUGACUACAUUAGUUACUGUUUCCAGAUGUGCUAUAUGCCUUCAUUUGUCACUGCUGCUCCCUUGCCCUGUGUGAAUAAUAGGAAUUUGUUUUUAUUAUCCAAUUUUUAAACAGGUAAACUUUGAUUUUACAUGAAAACUACUACUUAAGUACACCAACCGAAAGAACCUAAGGAAAAUUUCUUCUUGUCUCACACCUUUAUUCUACCAGUAUAUUCUCCCUAGAGAACAGCGCAAUGUGCUCUACAUUGUUGUCCAAUAAAUAUUUAUUGAUUAAAUGAAAAUGAAGUCAUAAUGAGACAUUUGUAAUUAGCCUAGUUAUGAAUAACAGGAAAGGAGCAAAGGGAAGGCCAAAUAUUAUAGGUUGUCAUUUGGGUAGCUUUGUCAGGAAGCUGCAGCUUCACACUCCCUAGGGAGCCACCGGUCCAUUCCCCCACAGAUUGCUAGGGGAAGGGACUGGACAGGAGGGAGAAUAGACACAUGGCCAGUAAAGAUGGGGUGACAUAGGGAAAUUGCUUGCUAUCAUUCACACCUAAGAACAGAGGUCAUUAGCCAGAUUGGACAUGGCUACUGCAAGCACAGGGAGAUUUGGGAUACUUAAUUCCCUGAACAAAGAAGUUUGCUCUCUUGGCUCUUGGCAUGUUGUGCUUGACUCCUGGCUUGCAGGGCUCUCUCAUAGACCCAGCCAUGUGGAUCCACACAUACCAUGGACUAAUGGACUACAACUAGCCUGAUGCUGAACUGGACCCGGCUGCAACAUGGAACGGAAACUCUGGACACUGGCUUUGCUUUUAGCUUUACUGAAUCCCCAGCUGCCCUUCUUCCAGGACACUUCAGAAGCACAGACAUACAAUUCCAAGCAAAUAAAAAUCUUUCAUCCUCAUG